rnacentral:rRNA from 1 species
AGGGCACCACCAGGAGUGGAGCCUGCGGCUUAAUUUGACUCAACACGGGAAAACUCACCCGGCCCGGACACUGGAAGGAUUGACAGAUUGAGAGCUCUUUCUUGAUUCAGUGGGUGGUGGUGCAUGGCCGUUCUUAGUUGGUGGAGUGAUUUGUCUGGUUAAUUCCGAUAACGAACGAGACCUUAUCCUACUAAAUAUGUGGUCAAGUUUACAAACACUUGAUCUCACUUCUUAGAGGGACAGGCGGUGAUUCAACCGCACGAAACAAGGCAAUAACAGGUCUGUGAUGCCCUUAGAUGUCCGGGGCCGCACGCGCGCUACACUGAAGUGAUCAGCGUGCUUUGCUAUGCCUACUCUGACAAGAGUGGGAAACCCCAUGAACCUUCUUCGUGAUUGGGAUAGGAGAUUGUAAUUAUUCUCCUUGAACGAGGAAUUCCCAGUAAGCGCGAGUCAUAAGCUCGCGUUGAUUACGUCCCUGCCCUUUGUACACACCGCCCGUCGCUACUACCGAUUGAAUGA